UUUUUUCUGUCACUAUGAGUUUCGUUCUGAGUUUAACAAAUCUGUUUAGAUAUCUACACAUGUACUACAUCUUUUGAUUUAUUUCUUUUCCACAUGUCAGUAUAAGAUUGUUUCAUAUAUGAGGAUCUUACUUUUA